GAAUAUAGUAAACAUGUGAGACAGAGAUUGAGAGAGAGUUAUAGAGGCCAGAGAGAGAGAGUUAUAGAGGCCAGAGAGAGAGAGUUAUAGAGGACAGAGAGAGAGAGAGAGAGAGAGUUAUAGAGGACAGAGAGAGAGAGUUAUAGAGGCCAGAGAGAGAGAGACUUAUAGAGGACAGAGAGAGAGUUAUAGAGGACAGAGAGAGAGUUAUAGAGGCAAGAGAGACAGAGUUAUAGAGGAGAGAGAGAGAGAGUUAUAGAGGACAGAGAGAGAGAGAGUUAUAGAGGACAGAGAGAGAGAGAGAGUUAUAGAGGACAGAGAGAGAGAGAGAGUUAUAGAGGACAGAGAGAGAGAGACUUAUAGAGGACAGAGAGAGAGAGAGAGGUAUAGAGGACAGAGAGAGAGAGAGUUAUAGAGGACAGAGAGAGAGAGAGAGUUAUAGAGGCAAGAGAGAGAGAGUUAUAGAGGCCAGAGAGAGAGUUAUAGAGGACAGAGAGAGAGUUAUAGAGGACAGAGAGAGGGAGAGAGUUAUAGAGGACAGAGAGAGAGAGUUAUAGAGGACAGAGAGAGAGAGAGUUAUAGAGGACAGAGAGAGAGAGAGUUAUAGAGGACAGAGAGAGAGAGUUAUAGAGGACAGAGAGAGAGAGAGUUAUAGAGGACAGAGAGAUAGAGAGCGUUAUAGAGGACAGAGAGAGAGAGAGAGUUAUAGAGGACAGAGAGAGAGAGAGUUAUAGAGGAAAGAGUUAUAGAGGACAGAGAGAGAGAGAGGACAGAGAGAGAGAGAGGACAGAGAGAUAGAGAGCAGAGAGAGUUAUUGAGGACAGAGAGAGAGAGGACAGAGAGAGAGUUAUUGAGGACAGAGAGAGAGAGAGAGAGUUAUAGAGGACAGAGAGAGAGAGAGAGUUAUAGAGGACAGAGAGAGAGAGAGAGAGAGAGUUAUAGAGGACAGAGAGAGAGAUAUAGUUAUAGAGGACAGAGAGAGAGAUAUAGUUAUAGAGGACAGAGAGAGAGAGUUAGAUGACAGAGAGAGAGAGAGUUAGAGGACAGAGAGAGAGAGUUAUAGAGGACAGAGAGAAAGAGUUAUAGAGGACAGAGAGAGAGAGAGUUAUAG
ensembl:lncRNA